UUAAAUAUUAAAAAAUUCAAACAUGUUUAUUAAUAUUAUUUUUAAAUUAUUUAUCGUUGUUUAAAGAAUAAAUUUAUGAUAAUUUUAAAAUAAUUUACAGAAUGUUAUAAAUUAUUAAUAAAAUUAAAUUUACUUUAUAUUGAAUAUUUGUUUAUUGUUAAAUAUUUUUUAGAAUUUCUUUUUGAUUUAUUUUUUCCAUCGACACUACUAAAAAGGAAAGCCCUCUAAAUACUUACCUUAUUUUGUAAUUUCGAUAUAUCAUUUAAUUCAUCGAUCCCACUAUAAUAGGAAAGUACCAUUGAAUACUAAUUGCAAGGGAAAACAUAAUUUAAUGACCAAUUAACAUCACUUUCCAAAUGACUUACAUAAUAUUAUUAAUAACUAUUUAUGGUAACAAAUUGUCGAAAGUAUGGUAUAUAAAUCCAUUUUAUUAAUUCAAAUAAAUAUUUUGGAUUCCAAAUGACUUACAUAAUAUUAUUAAUAACUAUUUAUGGUAACUAAUUGUCGAAAGUAUGGUAUAUAAAGUCAUUUUAUCAAUUCAAGUAAAUAUUUUGGUUUAUUAUUUUAUGUAGUCUAUAGAUAUAUUAGAAUAUAAAGUCAUUUUAUCAAAUCAAAUAAUUUAUUUUAAUUCAUCGAUCCUCUAUAAAAGAAAAGUAACAUUGAAUACUGAUUGAAAAGGAAAAAAUAAUUUAAUCCCUCUAUUAACAUUACUUGCGCAACAAUAUUAGUUAAUACAUGUAAUAAUUAGUUUCCUUAUUACAAAUGGAAAGAAUUCUCUUGAUUUUGUUGAUUGAUUUUUUAGAAUUUCUUUUUCGAUUUAUUUUAAUCAUCGACACUACUAAAAAUGAAAUCACUUUAAUACUUAACUUUUGCGUUUUCUCGAUUCAAAGAACAUCUUUUUGCGAUCAUUUCUCUGUUUAAUUCAUUAAAUACUCACUAAAUAUUUUAGAUGUUAGAGAAACGAAAUUAAUUGACAAGAUAUUUUCUCUCCUAAAAUCAUGCAUUUAAAACUUAAUAUUUAUGGUGAGACUUGUCAACCAAAAUUCUGGUGCAAUCUAUUCACGAGAUGUUUUCCUUUAGCUUUAUUAACAAGAUAUUCCAAAAAUAAUAUUACCUUAUAAGUAUAAGAUUUAUUGAGAAUUUAUUAAAGAAUAUUCUACUUCUUAGCUUAUCAUGCAAGCUAAAUCAAUGAGAAACGUCUACCAAUUUACUAUAAAUAAGACAUUCACAGUAGAAGAAACGAAAUAAUUGAACUUUGUAUUUUGAACUUUUAAUGUUAAUAAUGUUCUGAACUUUUUUUUCUUCUUAUUUUAGAACAUUAAGCUUUUAUAUUUCAUGAGAGCUGAUUUUUCUUUUGGUUUAUAUGGAGAUACCCUAUUAUGACGAUUUCUCCACUGAAGCUAUAUAUGAUUUGAUUGUACACCUCUUUGAUAUAUCAUUUCGAUAACAUCUUUGUUCCUCAAUCUGGUAAAAAAAUUUUACUCAAUUUGAUAACAUCUCUCAGCUAAAUCAUUUCAAUAGCAUCUUUUUGUGCUGCGAAUAUUUUUCUUUUUUUGAUUUGUAGAUUUAUAUUAUUGUUUAGAAUUAUAAGCUUAUAUAUACACAUAUUUGUUUUUUGGUUUGCUGAUUGUGAUUUUGUUUUAUAUUUUUUCAGAGAUGAUUUGAGAGAAAUGGUCAUAUUUCAGACCUCUAAGAGUUCACCAUUCUGAUCCUGCAAAAGAUGUGCACUUAGAAUGGUAUUUUCUCUACUGUACAUCAAAAUUGGAUAAUCAAUUAUAUUUUUAAAAUAUCUAUAGUAGGAUGGUAUUUUCUCUACUGAAAUAAUAUCUUAUUUCCUAAUCUCAUGCUUUAAUAUUUAAACUUUAAGGACAAGAUUUGUUAAUUAAAUCAUUAGUGUAAACUACUCCCGAGAUAUUCUCCUUUUUAUAUUUAAAAUGUAAUUUUAGUAACAAUAUAUUCCAUAAAUAAUCCUAACUUAUAGGUAGAUACAUUUUUAAAAUUAAUUUGAGAACAUUCUAUUACAUAGCUUAUUGUGAAAGCUAAAUAUUUUAGUAAAGUCUAGCAUUUUACUUAUAUUUUGUGUUUUCUCGAUUCAAAUAACAUCUUUUUGAGAUCAUUUCUCUGUUUAAUUCAUUAAAUACUCACUAAAUAUUUUAGAUGUCAGAGAAACGAAAUUAAUUGACAAGAUAUUUUCUCUCCUAAAAUCAUGCAUUUAAAACUUAAUAUUUAUGGUGAGACUUGUCAACCAAAAUUCUGGUGCAAUCUAUUCACGAGAUGUUCUCAUUUAGCUUUAUUAACAAGAUAUUCCAAAAAUAAUAUUACCUUAUAAGUAUAAGAUUUAUUGAAAAUUUAUUAAAAAAUAUUCUACUUCUUAGCUUAUCAUGUUUUUAUCAAAAGAAAACGUCAGUAGAUCAAAUUAAUUUUUACAUGUUCUUUCAGGCUUGAGUUUAUCAGAAGAUCAAAUUAAGAGUUUAUCUUUGGCGGAGAUUGAAUCAAUCAUGCGUUUGAACGGAAGCUCAUUUACAUUGUUUAAGUUUUGAAACGUGUUAUCAAUAGUAUACUCUUCUAUUGGUUAAGAUGUGGCUUUUGUUAGAUUUUCUAUUAAUUAAUUUUUUUUGUUUUACUUUUGUGGAAUUCACGAUAUUGUAAUGUUGUAAAUCAAUAAUAAAGACAUUUUUAUCACUAUUAAUAGGUGAGAGAGAGAGGGAGGGGGAGAGAGGGAGGGAGAGGGAGGGACGGGGAGAGAGAGAGAGGGAGGGAGAGGGAGGGAGAGAGAGGGAAAGAGAGAGAGAGAGAUUAGUGUUUACGGUAUAUCCAAAAGUUUUGAGUUUAUUGUUUAUGAUUUAUCCGGUAAAGCCAAAGGGUUAGAGUAUACUCAAGGGUUUAAGGUUUACCAAGAGUUUAGAGUUUAAAAAUUAAUGAAUGUAAUUUGUAUAUUUUACAAUAAAAAAUAAAAACUAACAGCAAAGUAGAUUGCAUUAUAUCUUGAAUUAAAUAAUGUUAAGAAGAUUUAUAGUUUUCAACCACAAAUAAUGAAUCAUAACUAUGUGAUUAUUAUACCUAUAAUAUAUAUUAUGAAUAUACAUGUCAUUGUAUGUAAAAAUUAACUAACCAUGUAAAAUUAAACUAAUGAUAAUAUUAAUAUCCGCAUAUGCGAUAAAAUAUCCGCAUAUGCGAUAAAAUAUCCGCAUAUGCGAUAAAAUAUCCGCAUAUGCGAUACAAUAUCCGCAGUCACUCCAUAGAGAGCUGGAUAUUUAAUCGCCGAGUUAAUUGUUUUGAUAAGCUGACAGAGUCUGAUUCGAAAAUCACCGACUGCAAUUCAUAUCUUCUCUCUGCUCAACCAAUUUCUAACAUUAUUUAUUCCAUAUUUAUUACAUAUUUUGAACUUUUUAUUCCAUAUUUUGAAUUUUUUAUGUCCUUAAUUACAUUCUUAAAUGGUUAAAGAGGGUUUCAAUGGGAAUGUAGUGAUAAUAUAAAAUAUGUUACCUCUGAAACUAUACACUAUUUAUUCCAGAUUUUGAAAAUAAAAUAUCUUCUUAAACAUACAAAUUAUUUUGGAACGUUGCAAUUAUACGUACACACAAUAAAUACCUCUUGAUACUGAAGUUACUUUGUUCCAUCUCGUCCAUGUAAAAUAUUGAGUACCAACAUUUUUUUGUACCUGAUGCUUUCUCCCAUGGGCGGUGGUAUUAUGAUAUAAAAUUCGUUACUUAUAAAACUAUGUACUACUUAGUUAAUAAUUUGAAUAUGUUUAUGUCCGCACAGGGUGCGGGCCGGCCACCUAGUAGUCAAUGAAACCAAAAAAAAUUACGUGAAGAUCCGAAGUUUUGUUUAUUGGCAAUGUUAAUUUUCUUUUUUUAUGUUUGUUUGUCCAAAAAAUUCAUGUCAUAGAAAAGUUAACCUAAAAUUAAGAGGACUUUCUUAUAUUGCAUUAUAUUUUCAUGCAUAUUAGAGCUUGAUCUGUGCACCCGUACGGGUGUUUAGUUUUACUUUUUAUAAACAAAUAUUAAUAUAAAUUUUAAAAAUUUAUCUAUAUUAAAUAAUUGUUUAAGAUGACAUUUCAAAAACAUAAUAAUUUUAUAGUUUAUAUUGAAUAAUUAUAUUUUAUUUUUGAGCUGUCGAUUUUAUCACUCAUUUUUAGAAUUUUACCCGAACAUCCGCAUGAAUGUAUUUUCAUUUUUUACGGAUCAGAAUUUUAUACUCUUCAACACUUAUAUUGUGUUAUUUUAUAUAAAAGUAUGCAUAAAAUAAUAUAUUUACAUUUAAAUAUAUUUAUAUUAAUAUAUCAUAUAAAUGAUUCUUUGUAUGUGAUUUCUUAGUUAUUACUAAUGAAUCAUGAAAUUAUAACUAUAUAUCCUUAAAACAUAUUGUGUUAUAAAUUUAGUAAAUAAAUACUUAAAUUGAUUUAGGUGGCUUUAUAGUUGUUUUAUCAUUUUUAUUAAUUAACUAUUAAUAAUAUUAUAUUAAUAAAUCUACAUUGUUUAUACUUAUUCCAAUUAUAUUGGAAUAUCAAGGAUAAAAGAUGAUGAAGAAAUAAUUUUAUAUCAUUGUUAAAUGGUAGAUGAUUUCAUUUAUAGACAAUAUUUAUUAGCUAGCUAGAUUAUAGGAAGUGUUUUGGACCCUAAUUAAUUGAUUAGCUAGCGAGAUUGAUUUUUUAUAUUACUAUUGUUUUUUUUUAGUUGAAGCUCAAAUUAUGAAUUAUAUUAAUUAAACAGAUAAAGACAUAUAAUCUUAAAAGGUAUGUUAAUUAAUAACUCUAGUGGCAUGCCAUUGUAAAUAAGUUGGAAAACUUAGGGAUAUUUUAUAUUUGUACUUAUUUUUUAAUAGAGUAGAUUCAUGUUAAUUUGUAAAACUAUUAUACAAGACUUUUUAUUAUUUGAACCGCAAAAAUAUAAAAUGUUUGUAUUAAUGUUUUUUAUACAACUUAUGUACAUAUAAUUUAUUUUGCUUAAAAUAUCAUUGGUUUUACUUGAUAUGUCACAACAAUCCUUUGAGACUGGACAAUAUAAUUUGUUUCAUGAUAUAUGUCGUAUAAAGGGGAUAUAAUCGUUUCGGUUUGAAUAUGUCCCACAAAAUUGAGACUGAUUCUCCAACUUCAUUCAAAUAGAAAGUUCAUAUAAAACCUCAGUCAAUCCCUUAAUUUAAGCACCUUGAUUUUGUAUAUAUAUAUAUAUAUAUUUAUUUAUUUAUUUAUUUAUUUUUAUGUUUUUUGAAAAAUCACCUUGACUUUGUAAUUAGGAAAUCAUCAUAAAUGGUGAUGGACAAAUUAUGAGUCAGUUUGAAAAUUUUGAAUGGUUAAGUUUAUGGUCAAAUAUCAUGGUUAAUAUAUUGUUUCCUAUUUUGUUUACCUUUCAUAUAAUACUUUCCAAAAUUUAAAUUUGGAAAGGAACAUUCAAAAAAUUUUAUGAUUGAACUAUGGCGAGAAUAUAUUCAUUUCACUAAAAUAAAACACGCAUAAACCUCAUAUCCUGUGACUAUAUAUAUAUAUCAUACUAAGCUAAGAGCUUAGGCAUCACAACGAACAUUGUGUGUUAAACCGCUUAGCUGAAACAGCUCGAUAUAUUACUGUUAGUUUAAUUAUUUUCGUUUAACCCGGAUGGUCUAGUUCAUCUAAAAGCCCGUCAUGUUGCUUUUUAUUGCUCUGUAUAUCAAACGUUACAACAUUGUGUAAUAUGCAUUAUUUGUUACUAUGACUUAUUACCUUUUUAAUAUUUACUAACUAAAAUUUCCAAACUUUUUAAUCAAUUCAUCCCGCGCAAGGCGUGCACCACCUAAUCUGAAACUACAAUAUUCCAAAAAAUAAUAAUCUACAAAUCUAAUAUAUUAAAAGAGGAGUACAAAUUUAAAUUACCCUUUAGUUUUGCAAGUUAUUUACACUUCCAUGUCACUAAGAUAUUAACUAAACCUACAUUUAAGGAUAUUUUGUCUUUUACGGUUUAAUUAAUGCAUUUGUUAAAUUAAUAUAUUUUAAAUUAAAAAAACUUUACAACAUUAAAACUUUACAACCCUAAACCCUAUUAUUCCUCAAUCCCUCAAUUAAUAUACACAUCUUACUGAAUCACGCAAGGUUCCAUUUCUCACCUGUUAGCUUAUACAAAUCGAUUUUCUAUCCUUUAUACACAAACUAAAUCUCAAUAUACAUUAAAUCUACAAUAUUUAUACGUUUAGUUUUGUAUUAAUUCAUACAAACAAUACAAAUACAUGUAUCAUAUAUAUAUAUCCUACUAUAUAAAAAGAGCUAAAUCCUAGCUUCCUAAGCCUUGCCACAUGAACAAAAUAAUCAGAACCAACCAUUAUGCCAUGUCAUUCCGGACUGGACUUUAAAAAAAAAAAAACCAACCAUUAAAAUAUGCGAAGAGUCACGGUUUAACCUGGUUCAACUCCAGUUACAUCAUAAUAAAACAAUGCAUGCAUUGAUUGUUGAUUAUUAGUCUUCUAGCUACCACAUCUUUGCCAUCCUAAAUCAAAAUCAAUUUUUACAACUUUAACUUGCCCCAUACUUAAUAUUCUUAUAGCUGGUGAACAAUUUAAUUUAGGAAAUCGUUAUAUUUCAUGUCAAAAAUGCAUACUGUAUUCAUUGAAAAUUAAAUAACAUAUAUUCUACCAUUAGGAUCAAGAACUCUAAUCUGAAGACUAUAUAUUCAUCCCCUCUCACUCUGAAAAAACCACCACCGCCAACUGUUCAAGAUUUUGUGUAAGUCAAUAUUUGAAAGUCACAAUUUUGUCAAUUUUUUGGCAUAAGUGAUAUGUUUAAGAGUUGGAUAGUUAAGUCCGUAUGCGGUUGGGGACGUGGAGUUUGGCUCACCUUCCACUGUUUAUUUUCAAUUGUUUUAAUAAUAGAUUCAUAUUGAUAAUCUGUGCGAAUAAACGUAUAAGAUUUUAGUUGGUAAAGAUUAAACAUAGACCGACAAUCUUCCGUCUUUAGCUAUUGGUCUCCGCCAAAAAAAUUUGAUUUAAUAUAAUAGUUCCUGCCUGCUAAGCUACUACAAUUGUAGUUCACGUCUAUCGGUCAUGUAAAAUAUUUAGUUUUUUUUGGCUUUAUAAGAUAUUAGUUUGUAAUUAAUCUCAUGGUUCGAUUUUAUCCAUUGAAACCUUUUUCACUAUGUUUUAUUAUCAAACCAUUUCACUUUGCCUAAGAUUUAAAUAUUCUUUCCUUUGUUUAAGGAUUGAUUGUUCCUCAAUACCAUGGUCAAACCAACCGCCAAAGAUCUUCCGCUUAUGGGAGGUAUUUUGAAUUUACAAGUGCAUUUUUGAAUCAAAAACAUUAUUAGUAUUGAUAUAUUAAUUUAAUACUUUAAUCCAAAUCUUUAAUAAAACAAAUAUAAAAUACAAAUUAUGUUUUAUAUAUAUAUAUAUAUAUUUAUAUUUUUGACUAUUUACAUCUUAUUAAAUUUGAAGUGCACAAAAAAAAAGAAAAGUUACAUCUUAUCUGAUAAGAUUCCAAAUAUAUAAAUACAAUGCUACGUUUUGAUUUUUGUUUAUUGCUACGAAACAUUUUAAAAACUUGGGAAAAGGUAAAAAUACAGACGACAUGACCGACCACUCCUUUUCUCCUGGUUUGCAAGAAUCUAAUUGAGUUGCUUAAUAUUUGUUCCAAAUUAAUAUAUAGUCCCAUCAGAACCAUAAAUUAAUAAUCUAUCUCUAUAUAAUUUUAUAUAAGUACUAAAUAAAGAUAUUUUUGUUCAUUUUAUAGUUACAAAACUCUAAUAAAACAAAUAUAAACAUUAUUAGUAAAAUAUGUUUUUUAUUUAAAAAUACAAAUUAUGAAAAAAACCACAAUUAGUUCUUAAUAAAAAAAUCAUGCUCCCAACUGUAUCAACAGAUUCGUCAUUCACCCCUAGAAGACACAUAUAGGAAUAAUUAAAUACUUUGGCAAAAAAAAAACAUUUUUGUGAUGAAGAUUCUUAGAUGAUGAUCGUUUUCUAUACAAACAUGCGGCACCUCUACACCAUUGUUUUAAUCCCAGGAAAACACGUAGAAAUCCAUUAACACAAAUAUUAACAUACUUUAAUUAAAUAUGUAAUCCGCGCGGAGCGCGGACACCGGCUCUAGUAUAUAUAAAAGGAGCUAUUUUUAGAGCUUCUAAGGGGUGCCACUAAAUAUUCCAGACCAAUCGUUUUGCCAUGUCGGUUUUUAGCUUAUGGGCCUCAAAUAAUCCAAACCCAUCAAGAUAACCAAUCAAUUUGCAAAGGUUUUUGGCUUGGCUACAUCUGAUUAAAUGUUCGAACCAAUAAAAAUAGCCAGCUGUCUAGACUAACCUAAAACAUCUUCAUUUCUUCAAUUUUCGUUGCCGAAACCAAGCUCUCAACCUCUCGCCUUUUCCCAUUCUUUCCCCAUCUUCGUCACUUUUCAGAUUCUCAUUUCAGUUGUAACUUUAGCUAUAACUACAUUCCUCACAUCAAAGACAUAUUUUUCACAAAUCACUUCAACUUCCCCUCUCAAACUCUAUAUAUAUAUGCCGAUGUAGUCAUCCUAAACCCUGUCAAAUCUUAAGCAACAAUGGCUUCCUCUCAAGUAUCUUUCUUAUUUCUUUCCCGGAUCUUCAGAAAGAUCUCGACAUCACCAAAUUUGAGAGGAAUAUGACGCACCCAUAAGUUUCCUUGGAUUCUAUAUGCUUCAUUAUUUGUUUUUAACUUCUAUUCCUAGAUUUAAAGCCUCAAGAUUUUAAUCGUUGGUAAGUUUUAGUGAAAGUUUUGUCUUGCUUUUACUACAGUUGGUAAUUGUUGUAAAUGAUGAGGAUAUAGAGAAUGCAUGCUCUUUGUAAUGGUUCAUCGUGGUCAAGAUAAAGACGAGACAUGACUGGAAACAGCUCCAGACGCCAUGACUGGCUCGAGUUCAAGCUUCAAGACACUGCCACAAUUAGCCAAACCACCAAGUUGUUCAGGUUUCUGCUUCUUCUUUCUGUUAUUUCCGACUGCAUAACUAAUCUGCAUUAAUAUACUGCAUAUCGGCUAUGCAUUACUAAACCCUCACUGGUGUUAGUUCAAGUUAUUCAGAGUUCCUUGAAAUUACCGAGGCUAGCAAACAUAUUCAACCAGCAUGCCAGAGACGAAGCUGGUGAAGACAUGGCUACUAAUCAGCCCGCAAUCAGAAAAGUAAUUGGAGGCACAUGAUAAGUACAUAGUCUAUGUAAGUGUCUCGAGAACCAAACCAUCUUUCACAAGUCCUUGGGAGAGGCAUUUAAGAUUUUCAGAAAUAAAGCAGUCGUUGGAAGCGCUUUAAGUGCUGAAUCGCUCGCAACAUUAGGAGCUGAGUGAUCAAGCUAUUAAUAAGGUGGUCGAUUUUUUCUUAUAUAAGUGAUGCUAAGGAUCGUUUUGCAGAGUUUUCCAGGAAACUGGCACGCAGGGGUCUUACUAAACUGCAGUAACUGAUAUGGCUGAGAUCGAGACUUAGCUUAGGUGUGAAGCAAGAGGAUUAUUGCGUCUUACAAUAUAACAACUUAUGUUUUGCGGGUUUUUAUAAAAGAGAUAACUUAAGUGGUAGAGGGUAAACAGAUGAGCAGAAAAGAAAAGUACAUAAAAAAAAUCAUUGCUAUGUAUAACAAAUUGCUAUGUAUAACAAAACCAUUUGUUCAGUAAAUCAACUUAUGAGUUUUUUUGGGAUUGUAUACUCCUGGUCAGUUCCUUAAAAUAGUUGUAUUAUAAAUGUAUAACUGUAGUUUUAGCGCAAGCAAUUUGUAUUAUUCCUACACUUCUAUUUUUGUUUAUGUUUGUGACUGUGUUUCAAAAAGAAAAAAAAAUUAUGUUUGUGACUAUCGUAAGUUAUCAGCUGCUUUAAAACUCACACAGAGAAAACAGAUACAAAGAAAAUUGGAGACAGUGGUUUAAUCUAAAACUUUUUCGCUGGUCAACUUUCAUACAUCUCUCAUAAUACGAUGACAAAGUUGCAAAUUUUAGACCAUUAUAGAAUCCAAAAUCGCAAAGUAAAAUCAUAUUGAUAACAUAAGCCAAACAUAUAUAAAAGUGAAAAUAAAAUAAAAUUCAUAUAUGUUUUAUGGUUACUAAUUUUAUAAACAAUAUAAAAUUUUUAUUUUGUUUUAAAACCAAUUACUUCAGCCCUACCAUAUAUGUUAUUAGUAGGUUCAGAAGAGCAACAUUAGUCAAAUUAGACCACUUAGAUCAAAUAUGAAAACACUAGAAAAUACAAAAGACCAACCAUUCAACCAGAUAAAACAAUAUAUAUAUAUAGGAAAACACAUUCUGUCUUUUAUGCUCUAUUAUUUUACUCUUUAGACAUUUCCCAGUUUAUUAGUUUUAAAUUAUGUAGAACUAUUAAAAAUACAUGUAAAAUAUGAUUGAAUAAAAUUUAUAAAAUCCAAUCCGUACGUAGUGCGGACACAGAACCUAGUAAUAUUAAGAACUAUAAAAUUUAAUGAUAAUCAGUAUACGCAAAUCGAUUUUUUCAAAAUCAUAAUGUUAACUUAAGGACCAGUCAGGUUUAAAUUUCAAAAAUUAAUGUAUAAAUUUCUAACCAAAAAAUGAUACCUACUUAAUUGUGAUAUUAGAUCCUAUUAUAUUUCUAUAUUAAUUUGUAUAAUUAAUGAGGAAUAUUUAUUAUCUAUACUAUACUAAAAGGCAAAUAUAAGCCAUGGAGAGGGAUAGAAAAAUCAACCAAUCAGAGAACCCGAAAUUGCCACGUCAUUUCAUUUAUUUUUUCGUAAAAAAUGAAAAACAAUGCUAAGGAAAGGAUCGAACCUGGGUUAUUAUGACAUUAACAUAGGACAGUUACCACUAAGCCAUUGAAACUUUCUUGAACACAUAUACAAGAAUCACU